UAGCUCAGUUGGAUAGAGCAACGGCCUUCUAAGCCGUGGGUCGCAGGUUCGAAUCCUG
rnacentral:tRNA from 1 species